GAACUCACGCACUGUUAGUGAUCCAAUAAUAGUAGUUUCUCUGUCAACAUAUCCCUGCGAAUGAGCACACAUUCCAUGUCAGAAGGCAGAAUCUGACAAGUGAUCCAAUAAGAGUAGUUUCUCUGUCAACAUAUCCCUGCGAAUGAGCAAGCUUUCCAAGUCAGAAGGCAGAAGCUGACAACAACAAAGAAAACCGCUGCCCCCUUUGUAACCCACUUGAUUCAAUUGAUGUUUUCUUCCAAAGAGCCCAAAAGUACCAACACAUCUGAACCGUAAUUCAAACAAAAUAACUAUUCAUACUUUAUCUUAUUUAAUAUUAACGUGAUGGUUAGCCUACCACCAAAAUGUUU
rnacentral:lncRNA from 1 species